rnacentral:rRNA from 1 species
UACGAAGGGGGCUAGCGUUGCUCGGAAUUACUGGGCGUAAAGGGCUCGUAGGUGGCCGACUAAGUCAGACGUGAAAUCCCUCAGCUUAACUGGGGAACUGCGUCUGAUACUGGAUGGCUUGAGUUUGGGAGAGGGAUGCGGAAUUCCAGGUGUAGCGGUGAAAUGCGUAGAUAUCUGGAGGAACACCGGUGGCGAAGGCGGCAUCCUGGACCAACACUGACACUGAGGAGCGAAAGCCAGGGGAGCAAACGGG